rnacentral:rRNA from 1 species
AGGAUGAACGCUGGCGGCGUGCCUAAUACAUGCAAGUCGAACGAGGUGCUUUUGUAGCAAUACGAGAGUAUCCUAGUGGCGAACGGGUGAGUAACGCGUUGGUGACCUACCCCAAAGUGUGGAAUAACAGUCCGAAAGGAUUGCUAAUACCGCAUGUGGUUAUCGGGCUUAGAAACUGAUAACUAAAGGAGCAAUUCGCUUUGGGAGGGACCUGCGUCCCAUCAGCUAGUUGGUGAGGUAAUGGCUCACCAAGGCUACGAC